ACGGGUGAGUAACACGUGAGUAAUCUGCCUCUGGCUUCGGGAUAGCCACCGGAAACGGUGAUUAAUACCGGAUACGACACGCUCUUGCAUGAGAUGUGUGUGGAAAGUUUUUUCGGCCAGGGAUGUGCUCGCGGCCUAUCAGCUUGUUGGUGGGGUAAUGGCCUACCAAGGCUUCGACGGGUAGCCGGCCUGAGAGGGUGACCGGCCACACUGGGACUGAGACACGGCCCAGACUCCUACGGGAGGCAGCAGUGGGGAAUAUUGGACAAUGGGCGGAAGCCUGAUCCAGCAACGCCGCGUGAGGGAUGACGGCCUUCGGGUUGUAAACCUCUUUCAGCACAGACGAAGCGCAAGUGACGGUAUGUGCAGAAGAAGGACCGGCCAACUACGUGCCAGCAGCCGCGGUAAUACGUAGGGUCCGAGCGUUGUCCGGAAUUAUUGGGCGUAAAGGGCUCGUAGGCGGUUUGUCGCGUCGGGAGUGAAAACACCGGGCUUAACUCGGUGCUUGCUUUCGAUACGGGCAGACUAGAGGCAUUCAGGGGAGAACGGAAUUCCUGGUGUAGCGGUGAAAUGCGCAGAUAUCAGGAGGAACACCGGUGGCGAAGGCGGUUCUCUGGGAAUGUCCUGACGCUGAGGAGCGAAAGUGUG
rnacentral:rRNA from 1 species